CCUACGGGGUGCAGCAGCGGGGAAUAUUGCACAAUGGGCGCAAGCCUGAUGCAGCCAUGCCGCGUGUAUGAAGAAGGCCUUCGGGUUGUAAAGUACUUUCAGCGGGGAGGAAGGUGUUGUGGUUAAUAACCACAGCAAUUGACGUUACCCGCAGAAGAAGCACCGGCUAACUCCGUGCCAGCAGCCGCGGUAAUACGGAGGGUGCAAACGUUAAUCGGAAUUACUGGGCGUAAAGCGCACGCAGGCGUUCUGUCAAGUCGGAUGUGAAAUCCCCGGGCUCAACCUGGGAACUGCAUUCGAAACUGGCAGGCUUGAGUCCUGUAGAGGGGGGUAGAAUUCCAGGUGUAGCGGUGAAAUGCGUAGAGAUCUGGAGGAAUACCGGUGGCGAAGGCGGCCCCCUGGACAAGGACUGACGCUCAGGUGCGAAAGCGUGGGGAGCAAACAGGAUUAGAUACCCUGGUAGUC
rnacentral:rRNA from 1 species